GACGAACGCUGGCGGCGUGCUUAACACAUGCAAGUCGAACGAAGUGGCGAACGGGUGAGUAACGCGUAAUCAACCUGCCCUUCAGAGGGGGACAACAGUUGGAAACGACUGCUCAUACCGCAUACUGAAGGAGGGGAUUGCGUCUGAUUAGCUAGUUGGAGGGGUAACGGCCCAACAAGGGGAAGAUCAGUAGGCGGGCUGAGGAGGUGGACGGCCACAAGGGGACUGGGGAACGGGCCAGACGCCUAAGGGAGGCAGGAGGUGGGAAACUUCCGGAAAGGAAGGAAGUCUGGAGAGGGAACGCCGGGUGAGUGAAGACGGCCUUCGGGUUGUAAAGAUUUGUUAAUCGGGAAGCGGUACCGAAAUAGAAAGCCACGGCUAACUACGUGCCAGCCGCCGCGGUAAUUC
rnacentral:rRNA from 1 species